AGCGAAAUGCGAUAAGUAAUGUGAAUUGCAGAAUUCAGUGAAUCAUCGAAUCUUUGAACGCACAUUGCGCCCGCCAGCAUUCUGGCGGGCAUGCCUGUCCGAGCGUCAUUUCAACCCUCAAGCACCGCUUGGCGUUGGGGCCCUACGGUUCACG
rnacentral:rRNA from 1 species